GUGCUGGCUUUGGCAGCACAUAUACUAAAAUUGGAACAAUACAGAGAUGAGCUUGGCCCCUGCACAAGUAUAGUGACAGAUGGCAGCUACACUUUC
ensembl:snRNA U6 U6 spliceosomal RNA